GAUGAACGCUAGCUACAGGCUUAACACAUGCAAGUCGAGGGACCGGCGCACGGGUGAGUAACACGUAUCCAACCUGCCCUUUACUCGGGGAUAGCCUUUCGAAAGAAAGAUUAAUACCCGAUAUAAAGGAUGGGGAGGCGUGCCAUUAGGUUGUUGGUGAGGUAACGGCUCACCAGGCCUUCGAUGGAUAGGGGUUCUGAGAGGAAGGUCCCCCGCAGUGGAACUGAGUCACGUUCCAAACGCAUACCGGAGGCAGGAGUGAGGAAUAUUGGUCAAUGGGCGCGAGCCUGAACCAGCCAAGUAGCGGGAAGGAGGAAGGCUUAUGGGUCGUAAACUUCUUUUAUAUAAGAAUAUGUAUUAUAUGAAUAAGGAUCGGCUAACUCCGUGCCAGCAGCCGCGGUAAUAC
rnacentral:rRNA from 1 species